UACAAAAAUCUGCUAUGCAAGUUCAACUAAUCGUUGUCCACAUUAUCGCGUACGAUUGAUCUAUUCAGCCCCUAUUUUGCACACAGCUAAACUGUAACUAAGUGUCACUCGACACAUCUCGCAGCUAAUUCCGAUAAUGGCGGAGGCUACUCGUCCCCCGCCGCCGCCGCUCGAUGUCGCCUCCCGCUUACCGCUCCACUUAAUCAAAUCCGAGAUUAUUCCGCCCGCCCCCUCACGAUCCGGCUCCGGAUCCGCGGCGGCCGCCGAUUUCCUGCUCGACUUCGCCGGGCACUCAUGGAUCGCCUACGGCGCCGCCUCUCUCGUAGUCAUAUCUCACUUCCCAGACCCUCAAUCAGAGGCCGAAACGAGAAUCGGGCCGAUAUAUCGUCAAGUGAUCGAGCUAUCUCGAGAGGCCGACGCUCACGUCUCAGCCGUGUGUUGGUCCCCUGCGACGCCGUCCGUUGGCGAGCUCGCGGUGGCGUUGGGUGAUCGCAUUGUGUUGCUAUCGUAUAGCGAGGAUGAAAAUUCAACCAGUUCUUUUUGUUGGAGGCAGACUACAAUGCUUAUCUUAUCCAUGAAGGUUGAGGCCAUCCAGUGGACAGGUUCAGGAGAUGGAAUAAUUUCAGGAGGCACUGAUGUUGUAAUGUGGAGAAGGAAGGAGAAGUCAUGGGAAAUAGCUUGGUCAUUCAAACCAAAAAUCCCUCAAGCUCUUGUCUCUACCACCUGGGCUGCCUAUGGUCUUUCAGCUACUGCACCAUGCAGCGAAGUACAAAUUGGAGGUUCGUCUGCUCUCCCCAAUGAUGCAAGAGAUUGUGUAUUAGUUUUUCAAUUUGAUGGGCAUUCUAAAUAUCCACAACACGAGCUGCGUCAUCCAAUGCCUGUUGGGAUGAUACAGUGGAGGCCAUCAACGGGAAAACCAUCAAGUAAGCAUGCUAGGCAUGCCCAGAGGUCAGUCUUGUUAACUUGCUGCCUUGAUGGAGCUGUUAGAUUAUGGGGUGAAAUUGAUGACGGGAGGAUUAGAAGAAAUGUAAAGGAUAAUAAUGACCAGAAAGCAAAGUUAUCUUUUUGUGUCCUUGCUGUAAUUGAGGUAAGCCAAACCCUGAAUGGUAUUCUAGGCUCUGAUGUCUUUGUAAGCUGGGCAAUGGAUGUUGAAGGCGUGAUGGUUAAUGAUAAAGAAGUGUGCUACUAUUCAUGCUCAGACAAUCUUCAGCAUGAUACAGCUUCUAGAUGUGAGUGGUUAAUUGGUUUUGGUCCUGAAAGAGUGAUAACGAUGUGGGCUAUUCACUGUCUUGAUGAUUUUGCUCCAGUGAGAUUCCCGAGGGUUACUUUAUGGAAGAUGCAGGAUCUAAUCAGUUCUGUAAUGGAAGCAAGCCAAUUGCUUAUGCAUAAAGUUUGUAUCAUGAGGACUCAAGUUUCUGGCUCUCCCGCUCUUUGCUCGCUGGUUCAAUUGUCACCUUGUAAUUCGUUCUCUUGGUGGCAAUUAUAUUCUCAAACCUCAGCUAGCAUAGAAUGGGAAUCUUCUAGUGAAAAUCAUGCCAAAAGUACUUCAGCAGCUUGUGCCAAAGGAGUGGUAGAAGUUGAAGGUCACAGCAGUACAAUUUUACAAAUUGCAAUUCAUCCUUUUUCUUUUGAAACUGAACUUGCUGCCUCCUUAGAUAGAAACGGAAUACUUCUUUUCUGGUCAUUUUCAACCUUUUUCAAUAGUCAUAUAGGCCGGCCAAUAUCUACUCCCUCUUGGAAAUUCUGUGGAAAACCUGCUGUUAUCGAUCACUCUCCUAAAUACACAUGCUUGAGUUGGGCCCCCACAGUGCUAGGUGACAAUAAUGUUCUUCUCAUGGGGCAUUCAAAUGGCAUCGAUUGCUUUGUGGUUAAGAUUUUGAAAAACAAUGAACAGAAGAUCACUUAUCACAGUUUAUUUUCUUUGCCCUUCGUUAUUGAAGGCCAUGAGCAAGGGCUAACUAGAGUGAGCUCCAUCCCUUUGCCUUGCAACUGUAAUGGAAACUCUGUUUCUAGUAAAUUUCUGCUGAUAGCAUUAUGGAUGGACAGUUUUAAGGCUUUAUCAUGGGAAAUAACCAUCCAUUGCGAUGAUUCCCAGGGGAGCUGUUCGAAUGAGCACUGGAAAACAUUUGAAAGUUAUUUGUCUGGUAAGAAGUACUUGGUUGCAGUUGACCCUUCCUCAUCAAUCAUUCCUUUAACUAACAACGAUGACAAGGUUACAAGUUGUGCUGUAGUCUGCCCCAGUGACUUGAUUUCAUCUUCAAAACAAAAGCUGAGUUCUGCCGAUGAGAUUGGCAGUACUUGCUAUGCAUAUCAUAUGAUAACUGGUUGCUUCAAUGGCAGCUUAAAACUGUGGAGGAGCAUGCCAGUUGAUUCUUUGAUCUCAGAAAAGAAGUGGGCUCUUGUUGGUCUCCUUACUUCUCAGCAAGGACCUAUACUAAAUGUCACUAUGAGUCCCUGUGGUCAAAAGAUUGCUUCAGCCUCCAAAACUAGUCAACUGAAUUAUUCUACCAUACUUUGCAUAUGGGAAUGCAUGCAUGUAAAAGGUGUGGGCAGCUUCAUGCUGGAAGAUAAACUAUGUUUUGAUGGGGAGAUUGUUGCUUUUAAUUGGUUAAAACUGGGAAUUGGUCAGCUAUUACUUGCUGUUUGUUUACGAAAUGAGUUGCGGAUAUAUGCUUCACGACGCCGUGGGGGUCAAGGCGUAUUAAAAUCCAAGAAACCUUUGGAAGAAAAUGCUUGGAUAUGCAUUGCAGCUAAUAGUAAUCUACCUCCUAUUUCUGACUUUCUUUGGGGCCCUAAAGGCACAGCUGUAGUAGUUCACGGCAAGUAUUUUAGUCUUUUCAGUCACUUUUUGUCAUUAUCUGAUUGCACUGGCUCCCAUGACAGUGUGCAUUGUCCAACUUUUACUGAUUCUAAAAGAGUACCAUCGAGCAUUGGAGGCAAAUAUGAGUCGCAGCCCCCUGCAAAGAUGGACAAUGAGGAUGAAUUGAACUCAAUCGUAAAUGGCGAGAGCUGCCAGUGGAUGUACAAUUAUGCCACCAAAAAAUGUUUCUGGAGUAUGUCAGAAAUAGCAGAAAUGAUAGGAGGAUCUUUGCCUCUAUUUCACCCUGAGGCUCUCUUGAAUAACUUGUGUUCAGGUAACUGGAAACGUGCAUUUAUAGCUUUACGCCAUCUUGUUAAACAUCUAGCUUCUGCCAGUUUGUCUGAACAAGGUCAUGGUGCUAAAUUGCCUAGCAGUUUAGUUUCACCAGUUCCCUUGGCAGAUUAUCUUGAAGGGAUUCUUCCAAUCCAUUCAAGUGAUAAUGUAUUUCAUUGGAGCACUUCUCAACUUCAAACGGGUUUAUUUAACUUUGUCCCCGGGGAUGGUUCUGGUGCUCAAAAUUCCACCAUGACUUCAUCGCUAUCAAAAUCUGAAUUUGAUGUCUUCAUUGAAUCUCUUGAGAUGUUGUACUCUUAUAAGCGCAUAAAUAUAGAUGAAAAGAUGCAGGCCAUUGCACUCAUUGGCCUUCUACGAGAAGUUGGUAAUGCUAACUCAACUUCUGCUUAUGGAAGUCUAGAUGAACCUGGUAGGAGAUUUUGGGUUGCAGUGAAGUUCCAGCAACUAUAUUUUGCUCAAAGAUUUAGUAGGUUGCCUCUGGUGGAAGAGUUUGUUGUUUCUCCAGGACUGAUUGGGUGGGCUUUUCAUUCAGAUUGCCAUGACAAUUUGUUUAAUUCGCUACUAUCAACAGAGCCAUCUUGGGAAGAAAUGCGCAGUAUGGGUGUUGGGUUCUGGUAUACGAAUGUAUCACAGUUGAGGGUUAAGAUGGAAAAGCUGGCUAGACAACAGUAUAUGAAGAAGAAAGAUCCUAAGGCCUGUUUACUCCUUUAUAUUGUGUUGAACAGGCUUCAAGUUUUGGCUGGCCUCUUCAAAAUAAGCAAAGAUGAAAAGGACAAACCAUUAGCGGGAUUUCUCUUUAGAAACUUUCAGGAUGAUAAACAUAAGGCUGCAGCUAUUAAAAAUGCUUAUGUUCUAUUGGGAAAACAUCAACUAGAGUUAGCAGUAGCUUUCUUUUUGCUUGGAGGAGAUGCUUCUUCAGCCGUGACAGUCUGUGCCAAAAACCUUGGAGAUGAACAGCUUGCUCUUGUAAUAUGUCGUCUCCUGGAGGGAUGUGGUGGACCUUUAGAACGCAAUCUCAUUGUGAAGUUUCUCCUCCCAUCUGCACUAUCAAUAGGCGACUUUUGGAUGGCAAGUUUUCUAGAGUGGCUAUUGGGAAAUUAUGCCCAAUCUUUUUUCAGAAUGCUUGGUGCUGAAGUGGAUUCUGAGGUCAAUAUUUCUGUCCUUUCAUCUUCUCAUACCUGUUUUCUGGAUCCAAGUAUUGGUCAAUAUUGCCUGAUGUUGGCAACCAAAACUAAAUUGAAAAAUGCUAUUGGGGAGCUUAAUGCUGCUAAUCUCUGUCGGUGGGCAUCUCUGAUGAAUAUUACUUCCUUCAGAAGAUGUGGGCUACCUCUUGAAGCUUUGGAGUGCCUUUUGUCAUCUGUUAGCAUAUUUGGUGGCUCUACCUCUACCCAUGGGAGCUUCAAGCAUAACCCAACUGGCGAUCUUCCUGCUGAAUUGACAAAACCAUCUAUGUAUGAGAACUCCUCAAACUGGAUGUCGGAAGAGACAUCUAGCCAUAUCGUAUCAAAUUGCAAGUUAUAUUUGGCAUUGCAGUACAUGUCAGCCUUGAUGAAAGAACAUCCAAGCUGUUUAGAAAAUGAUAGGCCAUCAUCUUUCAAAGAGGUUAUAAACCUGGAGGUUGACCGUCAGAACUUUGAGAAAUUACUGAAGGAAUUUGAAGACAAAUUGACAGGAGCUAUUGCAUAUUUUCAGCAGAAGUUCUCCUUGGUUCCUCUUCAUUUAAUUACUAUGAUUGUAUCAUCUCUGUGCCAUAAUGGUCUAGACUUUGUUGGACACUACAUAUUACAAGGUUAUGCUCCAAAGUUCCUGUCGCAAGAAAAGAGUAAUGGACCUGAUAAAUUAUUUUGGUUUCCAUCCGAUCUGUUUAAAGCUACUGAAGAAAUGUUCUCACUGUAUGUGAAAUAUGUUGUUGCCUCUUGCAAAAACUGCUCCAGAUCAACAUAUUUGACCGUGGAUAGUCUUGCUAGUGAAGGCAGGUUAUGCUGGCUUACUGUUUGGGGUUUGUCCAAUCAGGGCAUAACAGAAACAUUUAGGUGCCUGAGAGCCAUGUUACAGUUGUUCCUAGGAUCCCAAGCCGUAGAUUUUCAGAAGUUACUUUUAUUUAUUCUCAGUUUGUUUGAAUACCAUAUACUUUUUGCUUCAGCUUGGCUUCAAAAGAAUUUCAAAGCUAUUAUUGUAUCUAUUGGACCUGUUCUGUCUAAUUUACUGGAGGAAAGUAACUCCUAUGGGUUGAAGAUGGAGGACCUGAAUAAACUUAUUACUGAGAUUAUGGAGAUGCUUGCUCGUGAUUUAGUAUAUGUUGAGUCAGGACCACAUACUGAAAUCACAGGACUAAAGCAGGAACCAACUGGAGCAGUUUCUGAUAACAAGGCCUGGCGUAUUAUCACUGCUUCUUUUUGGGUGCACAUGUCUAAAUUCUUGGAACAUCAACUCACUACAUUGCCUGAAGUACCUGAAGUAAUUUUUUCUUCCCAGCCUUUUCAUGUAUUAGAACUUGAUGGAAAUAAUCUACAGCAACAGGCCAGAUCGGCCUCUAGCACUUUGGUUCAAUUUCUAAAGCUCACGUGCUCAUAUGUUUCCUUUUAUUGUUCAAAGCAAUUUGCAACAUACCUGCUUCAAGAAGCAAAUACUUUGAACAAAAAUAACCUUUCAUGCUUUGAAGAUGGUCUGUAUCAACCAGAAGGGGGCAAUAAUCAUCCAAUGAUUGAAUAUCCAGAACCGUUAGACAAAGUCAAAGAGUUGCCAGAUCUUGAGAAAUUAAGGCAUAUUUUUGCUGGUUCCAAAAUCCUCCGUGGAGCCUUUCAGCAAGAGUAUCGCAAUUGGCUACCAUAUAUUAAGCAGAAGUCAUCUAGCGGAUGGAGUUAUGCAUAUGCAAGCAUCACAGCAGAGUUUGGAUCUGAGGAAACUUGGGAUAAAGAAGAUGGAUUUGGUAGUCCUCGUGCAAUUGGAUCACCUUUAGCAUGUCUGACCCCAGAUCAUCCUUUUAAAACUUCUGAUGACCACGAUUCAUACGAUCCAAAGAGGGUUAUGCCUUUUCAAAAUCCUAAAGAAGUAUGUAGAAGAAAUGGAGAACUUUUGGAGGCUCUGUGUAUAAACUCCAUCAAUCAGUCCCAAGCUGCACUUGCUAGCAAUAAGAAGGGGAUAGUAUUUUUCAACUGGGAAGAUGGGAUUCCUGAUAGAUAUAAAGCUGAAUGUAUUUGGGGAGAAGCUGACUGGCCCCGUAAUGGCUGGGCAGGAUGCGAGUCCACGCCAGUUCCUUCAUACGUUUCUUCUGGUGCGAGCUUGGGAAGUAAGAAGGGUACACACCUUGGGUUGGGAGGAGCCACAAUUGGUACGGGCUCCUUGGCUAGACCAGGAGGAGAAUUAACAGGUGGUGGAGCCUUUGGCAUUCCAGGAUAUGCUGGAAUGGGAGCAUCCAGCCUUGAUUGGGGUCUCCAAGAAAGUUUUGAUGAGUUCCUCGACCCACCUGCCACAAUUGAUAAUAUAAGGACAAGCGCAUUUGCAUCACAUCCAUGCAGGCCUUUCUUCUUGGUUGGAUCUAGCAAUACUCACAUAUACCUUUGGGAGUUUGGGAAGGACACAGCCUCUGCAACCUAUGGAGUACUUCCGGCUGCAAAUGUUCCUCCACCCUAUGCUCUUGCCUCUGUGUCUGCUGCACGAUUUGACCACUGUGGACACAGAUUUGUGACUGCCACAUUAGAUGGAACUGUAUGCACGUGGCAGCUUGAAGUGGGAGGAAGAAGUAACAUUCAUCCUACAGAAUCUUCUGUCUGCUUUAACAAUCAUACUGCGGAUGUCACUUAUGUUACAGCAAGUGGAUCAAUUAUUGCUGCAGCAGGAUACAGCUCUAAUGGCGUUAAUGUUGUUGUAUGGGACACACUUGCUCCUCCAGCUACGUCUCAAGCUUCAAUAAUGUGUCAUGAAGGAGGUGCUCGCUCCCUUGCUGUUUUCGAUAAUGACAUAGGGAGUGGUUCUGUUUCUCCUCUUAUUUUAACUGGUGGAAAAGGUGGUGAUGUUGGGCUUCACGACUUCCGUUACAUAGCUACAGGAAGGACUAAGAAACACAAGCACUUGGACCCUGGGGAACAUAAUAUGAAUGCUUCAUCUUCUGUUGAUAUGCGAAGCAAAACCGGUGACCAAAAUAGGAAUGGAAUGCUUUGGUACAUUCCAAAGGCUCACUCAGGGAGUAUCACCAAAAUAUCUACAAUUCCAAAUACCAGUUUCUUCUUGACUGGGAGCAAGGAUGGAGAUGUGAAGCUUUGGGAUGCAAAGAGGGCUAAGUUAGUAUUUCACUGGCCAAAAUUGCAUGAAAGGCACACCUUCUUGCAACCUAGCUCUCGUGGUUUUGGUGGAGUUGUUCGGGCUGCAGUAACAGACAUUCAAGUUGUUUCUAAUGGCUUCCUUACAUGUGGAGGAGAUGGUAUUGUAAAAUACGUAGGAUUUCAAGGAUCUCCACUGAAGACGACAAAUUAAGAUCCAACUCCAUUGUUGUCUCAUAUGCAAACAGGUAUCAGACUUCAUCUCAGCAAUGCAAAAUUCUAGGUUCCCUUGUUCUAUCCAGAAUUUCAACAUUGGCAGUAGUGACCUGUUUCCAGACUUGGCCAUGGAGCAAACUCUGAAGCAGUUUGAUUUUCUUAACCAAUCUCAGCAUCUACACUCUCCAAUUUAAUGGGGACUGAACUGGUAGCGGCCAUAGACACCAUCAUUCAGUUUUGAGAGAUUACGCGUAAAGUCUAGCUCCUGCGCAUUUGAAGUCAUCCAAGCUUGCAUGCAGUUGGCUGCAAAGAUAGACUUGGACAGAGGUCGAGAUUCUGAGUCAAAUUGAAUCGAAACGGGUGGAGUUUGACAAGUGUUGAAACAGCCUCACUGACAAAAGCAUGGAUUCCGGCUCCUCAUGAGUGGUUCAAAUUAGAUACCGACAUCCAUUAGUAGGGGUUGGAAUUGGAUCCACCUUCAUGCAACUUUUGUAUCACCUUCUUUACUCGAUUGCCACAUAUGGGAGACACUAGGCAUGCUCCUAAUUAAUAAAACUGCAACAAAUAUGUGUUACUCUCACUUGCGACUGCGUAUAUGGGACACACUAGCUAUCAUCUUUUAGACCGUAAAAUUUAGGGGGGUGUAUUCGUUGUGGAUUUCCACAGACUUUAAAAAGUCCAUGGAAUUCACAUAGAUUCCAGACGACUUUCAAAGAAUUCGUGGUUGGAUUUCACCACGAUUUUCACUGAUUUUCGAAGACUUUACGGGAUAAUUUUGGAAUUGAAUUCCAUGAAACUAGGGCCCGCGGAGAACCAGCGCCCGCUAGAAAAGACCCAGCGACCGCUGAGUUCCAGCGAGCGCUGGAAACCCAGCGACCGCUGGGUUCCAGCGAGCCGCUGACCACCGGACGAGCAGCAGCAACUCCAGGCUGUCGAUCUCAGGCAGCUCCAGAGAGAUGGGGAUACUGUUUGAUGAUGCUGUGGUAAUUCGGCAGUCCGAGAAAGAAGAAGAGCCCAGUGUUAUUACCGUAAAUUGUCCAGACAAGACCGGCCUGGGUUCUGAUCUUUGCCGCAUAAUUCUCUUCUUUGGCCUCACUCUUGUCAGAACUGGAAUGUUUGAUUUAACGCCCACCAAACUCAAUUUUAUUUAUGAAAUUCGCUAUUGUUCUUGAUGAGAUUUUUCUGCAUGUUAUAAUUUUGUAACUCUUUCAUAGGAUUCAACCUCGCAUAUUGCUAAAUCUCUCUAGGUGUUGAACUUGA